CUCACAUCCAAACCAUAAGAGUAUAGUUAUGCAGACACCAGGUGCUAUCUACCCUGACAAUGGAUUAAUGCUGUCCCUCUCAUCACAGGUCCAGAAUGCUAAGGCCUAGGGACAGAAGAUGUCAAAAGAGGGCCCUCAGGUAUUCCUGGAACCUUGGUGCCAGGACAUCUCAAGUCUCCCAUUUCCUCUAUUCUGGUGCAGUGCUCCUCAGCAAUCAGGUGUGGUUUAAGUGGGCUAAGGUUUGAGUUGGUCACCCCUCUGGUAAGCACAGAUGAUAAACAUUGUUGAUGCCCAUGAAGUACCACCUUCAUCAAGGUGCCGAGUACAUGAGCUUUGACAGCAUGGUUACCUGCACCUGGAUUUCAAAGGAUGCCCCAGAGAACCUCAGCCCAGGCAGAGAACUGCCACAGGGGCAGAAUUAUCACAGACAGCUCUCAGGUCAAUGUCCAGUGGAGCUAUAAGGGUGAGAGCUACCAUACAGAGUGAUGCCUAGCAGAGCUGUGGGGACAGGGCUCACCUCUAUGACUGUAGACCGGUAAGCCAUCGAGAAGCAGUUCCAGUCUGGGAGAGCCACAGUCGAAAGACCCAGUAUUGUAGAGCUGCUCUGUGGGUUUCUCUCAGCAAAGCCAUGAGGGCAGUGUGUGUGGAAUGUGGAACAAUGAGGCAAGAUUAUCCUGGAGCUGUAAGAUUUAAUGUUUGCCCUAUUAUAUUUGGGGUUUAGUUGGAACCUAUUAUCUCUUCUUUCUUACUUCCUUUUGGAAAGGAAAUCC
rnacentral:lncRNA from 1 species